CUACGGGAUGCUGCAGUGGGGAAUAUUGGACAAUGGGGGAAACCCUGAUCCAGCAAUGCCGCGUGUGUGAAGAAGGCCUGCGGGUUGUAAAGCACUUUCGGUUGGGAGGACUGCUUCUAGCACUAAUAUUGUUGGAAGUUGACGUUACCUUCAGAAGAAGCACCGGCUAACUCCGUGCCAGCAGCCGCGGUAAUACGGGUGGUGCAAGCGUUAAUCGGAAUUACUGGGCGUAAAGCGCGCGUAGGCGGCUAGAUCAGUCGGGUGUGAAAGCCCCGGGCUUAACCUGGGAACUGCAUCCGAUACUGUCUAGCUUGAGUACAGGAGAGGAGAGUGGAAUUCCACAUGUAGCGGUGAAAUGCGUAGAUAUGUGGAGGAACACCAAUGGCGAAGGCAGCUCUCUGGCCUGAUACUGACGCUGAGGUGCGAAAGCGUGGGGAGCAAACAGGAUUAGAUACCCCCGUAGUC
rnacentral:rRNA from 1 species